UACGGGGGGGGCAAGCGUUGUUCGGAAUUACUGGGCGUAAAGGGCUCGUAGGCGGCCAACUAAGUCGGACGUGAAAUCCCCAGGCUUAACCUGGGAACUGCGUCUGAUACUGGAUGGCUUGAAUUCGGGAGAGGGAUGCAGAAUUCCAGGUGUAGCGGUGAAAUGCGUAGAUAUCUGGAGGAAUACCGGUGGCGAAGGCGGCAUCCUGGACCGAGAUUGACACUGAUGAGCGAAAGCUAGGGGAGCAAACGGG
rnacentral:rRNA from 1 species